GGGGGCGUAACUUAGGCAGAAAAGGCCCGGCUCUUACCCGGUGUGACGAUGGUGCAACUCCAUCCGCCCCCACCA
rnacentral:tRNA from 1 species